rnacentral:rRNA from 1 species
UCAUGGCCCUUACGAGUAGGGCUACACACGUGCUACAAUGGCGCAUACAGAGGGCAGCCAACUUGCGAAAGUGAGCGAAUCCCAAAAAGUGCGUCGUAGUCCGGAUUGGAGUCUGCAACUCGACUCCAUGAAGUCGGAAUCGCUAGUAAUCGUGGAUCAGAAUGCCACGGUGAAUACGUUCCCGGGCCUUGUACACACCGCCCGUCACACCAUGGGAGUGGGCUGCAAAAGAAGUAGGUAGUUUAACCUUCGGGGGGACGCUUACCACUUUGUGGUUCAUGACUGGGGUGAAGUCGUAACAAGGUAGCGCUAGGGGAACCUGGCGCUGGAUCACCUCCUUA